rnacentral:rRNA from 1 species
AGAGCGGCGCACGGGUGAGUAACGCGUAGAUUAUCUACCCUUGAGAUUGAGAUACCACCGGGAAACUGGUGUUAAUACCGAAUAACGCAUAUGAUGUGGAAGUUAUAUGUUAAAGGGGGGCAACUCCCGCUUGAGGAUGAGUCUGCGUUCUAUCAGCUUGUUGGUGGGGUAAUGGCCUACCAAGGCUCUGACGGAUAACUGGUCUGAGAGGAUGAUCAGUCACACUGGCACUGAGACACGGGCCAGACUCC